rnacentral:rRNA from 1 species
UACGAAGGGGGCUAGCGUUGUUCGGAUUUACUGGGCGUAAAGGGCGCGUAGGCGGGCGAUUAAGUCAGGGGUGAAAUCCCAAGGCUCAACCUUGGAACUGCCUUUGAUACUGAUUGUCUUGAGUUCGAGAGAGGUAAGUGGAACUGCGAGUGUAGAGGUGAAAUUCGUAGAUAUUCGCAAGAACACCAGUGGCGAAGGCGGCUUACUGGCUCGAAACUGACGCUGAGGCGCGAAAGCGUGGGGAGCAAACAGG